rnacentral:rRNA from 1 species
AUUGAACGCUGGCGGCAUGCUCUACACAUGCAAGUCGAACGGCAGCGCGGGGCAACCUGGCGGCGAGUGGCGAACGGGUGAGUAAUACAUCGGAACGUACCCAGGAGUGGGGGAUAACGUAGCGAAAGUUACGCUAAUACCGCAUACGUUCUACGGAAGAAAGUGGGGGACCUUCGGGCCUCAUGCUUUUGGAGCGGCCGAUGUCUGAUUAGCUAGUUGGUGAGGUAAAGGCUCACCAAGGCGACGAUCAGUAGCUGGUCUGAGAGGACGACCAGCCACACUGGGACUGAGACACGGCCCAGACUCCUACGGGAGGCAGCAGUGGGGAAUUUUGGACAAUGGGCGCAAGCCUGACCCAGCAAUGCCGCGUGAGUGAAGAAGGCCUUCGGGUUGUAAAGCUCUUUUGUCAGGGAAGAAACGGUGCGGGCUAAUAUCCCGUGCUAAUGACGGUACCUGAAGAAUAAGCACCGGCUAACUACGUGCCAGCCGCCGCAGUAA